rnacentral:rRNA from 1 species
GUAGAACGCUGAAGCUUGGUGCUUGCACCGAGCGGAUGAGUUGCGAACGGGUGAGUAACGCGUAGGUAACCUGCCUGGUAGCGGGGGAUAACUAUUGGAAACGAUAGCUAAUACCGCAUAAUAGUAGAUGUUGCAUGACAUUUGCUUAAAAGGUGCAAUUGCAUCACUACCAGAUGGACCUGCGUUGUAUUAGCUAGUUGGUGAGGUAACGGCUCACCAAGGCAGCGACACAUAGCCGACCUGAGAGGGUGAUCGGCCACACUGGGACUGAGACACGGCCCAGACUCCUACGGGAGGCAGCAGUAGGGAAUCUUCGGCAAUGGACGGAAGUCUGACCGAGCAACGCCGCGUGAGUGAAGAAGGUUUUCGGAUCGUAAAGCUCUGUUGUAAGAGAAGAACGAGUGUGAGAGUGGAAAGUUCACACUGUGACGGUAUCUUACCAGAAAGGGACGGCUAACUACGUGCCAGCAGCCGCGGUAAUACGUAGGUCCCGAGCGUUGUCCGGAUUUAUUGGGCGUAAAGCGAGCGCAGGCGGUUAGAUAAGUCUGAAGUUAAAGGCUGUGGCUUAACCAUAGUACGCUUUGGAAACUGUUUAACUUGAGUGCAAGAGGGGAGAGUGGAAUUCCAUGUGUAGCGGUGAAAUGCGUAGAUAUAUGGAGGAACACCGGUGGCGAAAGCGGCUCUCUGGCUUGUAACUGACGCUGAGGCUCGAAAGCGUGGGGAGC